rnacentral:tRNA from 1 species
ACUAAGGUGGCAGACUAGUGCAAUAGAUUUAAGCUCUAUAUAUAAAUUCACAUUUUCUUAGUA